rnacentral:rRNA from 1 species
ACGCUCGACACCUACGGGGGGCAGCAGUGGGGAAUAUUGCACAAUGGGGGAAACCCUGAUGCAGCGACGCCGCGUGAGCGAAGAAGUAUUUCGGUAUGUAAAGCUCUAUCAGCAGGGAAGAAACUGACGGUACCUGACUAAGAAGCACCGGCUAAAUACGUGCCAGCAGCCGAGGUAAUCUGAGCGGGCUGGCAAGGC